rnacentral:rRNA from 1 species
CCUACGGGGGGCAGCAGUGAGGAAUAUUGGUCAAUGGCCGGAAGGCUGAACCAGCCAUGCCGCGUGAAGGUCAGUGCCCUAUGGGCGUUAAACUUCUUUUGUGCGGGAGCAAUAAUGGUCACGUGUGGCCAGACGAGAGUACCGUACGAAUAAGCAUCGGCUAACUCCGUGCCAGCAGCCGCGGUAAUACGGGGGAUGCAAGCGUUAUCCGGGUUUAUUGGGUUUAAAGGGUGCGUAGGCUGGGAGGUAAGUCAGCGGUGAAAUGCCCCCGCUCCACGGGGUGAAGUGCCAUUGAUACUGCCGUGCUGGAAUGCGGAUGACGUAGGAGGAAUGUGUGGUGUAGCGGUGAAAUGCAUAGAUAUCACACAGAACACCGAUUGCGAAGGCAUCUCACGAAUCCGCGAUUGACGCUGAUGCACGAAAGCGUGGGUAUCAAACAGGAUUAGAUACCCGGGUAGUC